rnacentral:rRNA from 1 species
AACGAACGCUGGCGGCAUGCCUAACACAUGCAAGUCGAACGAGACCUUCGGGUCUAGUGGCGCACGGGUGCGUAACGCGUGGGAACCUGCCCUUAGGUUCGGAAUAACUCCCCGAAAGGGGUGCUAAUACCGGAUAAUGUCUUCGGACCAAAGAUUUAUCGCCUUUGGAUGGGCCCGCGUUGGAUUAGCUAGUUGGUAGGGUAAAAGCCUACCAAGGCGACGAUCCAUAGCUGGUCUGAGAGGAUGAUCAGCACACUGGGACUGAGACACGGCCCAGACUCCUACGGGAGGCAGCAGUGGGGAAUAUUGGACAAUGGGCGGAAGCCUGAUCCAGCAAUGCCGCGUGAGUGAUGAAGGCCUUAGGGUUGUAAAGCUCUUUUACCCGGGAUGAUAAUGACAGUACCGGGAGAAUAAGCUCCGGCUAACUCCGUG